rnacentral:rRNA from 1 species
AAGCGUGGGGAGCGAACAGGAUUAGAUACCCUGGUAGUCCACGCCGUAAACGAUGCAUAUUAUUAGUAUGGAGUAUCGACCCUCUGUGCUGAAAAGCUAACGCGAUAAAUAUGCCGCCUGGGGAGUACGGCCGCAAGGCUAAAACUCAAAGGAAUUGACGGGGCUCCGCACAAGCAGUGGAGGAUGUGGUUUAAUCCGAAGCUACGCGCAGAACCUUACCAAGGCUUGAAAUCCCUAUCGUACUCCUAGGAAACUAGGAGGUCAGUUCGGCUGGAUAGGUGACAGAUGCUGCAUGGCCGUCGUCAGCUCGUGUCGUGAGAUGUUGGGUUAAGUCCCGCAACGAGCGCAACCCUUGUCGUGUGUUGUAUUUUUCACGCGAGACCGCCCGGGCCAACCGGGAGGAAGGUGGGGAUGACGUCAGGUCGGCAUGGCUCUUACGCCUUGGGCCACACACGUCCUACAAUGGCUGGUACAACGGGUCGCGAAACCGCGAGGUGGAGCUAAUCCCAUCAAAACCAGUCUCAGUUCGGAUUGCAGGCUGAAACUCGCCUGCAUGAAGCUGGAAUUGCUAGUAACCGUAGGUCAGCAUACUACGGUGAAUACGUUCCCGGAGCUUGUACACACCGCCCGUCACACCACGAAAGUUGGGGGUGCCCGACGUGCCUACUUUGCUAGGCCCUAAGGCAAACCCAGUGAUUGGGGUGAAGUCGUAACAAGGUAUCCGUACCGGAAGGUGCGGAUG